rnacentral:tRNA from 1 species
CAACAAAUAUUUUAAAUAAAAUAUUAAUUUUGGGUGUUAAAAAUAUAGAGUUUUCUAUUUUGUUGA